rnacentral:rRNA from 1 species
AGUGAACGCUGGCGGUAGGCCUAACACAUGCAAGUCGAACGGCAGCACAGUAAGAGCUUGCUCUUACGGGUGGCGAGUGGCGGACGGGUGAGGAAUACAUCGGCAUCUACUUUUUCGUGGGGGAUAACGUAGGGAAACUUACGCUAAUACCGCAUACGACCUACGGGUGAAAGCAGGGGAUCUUCGGACCUUGCGCGAUUGAAUGAGCCGAUGUCGGAUUAGCUAGUUGGCGGGGUAAAGGCCCACCAAGGCGACGAUCCGUAGCUGGUCUGAGAGGAUGAUCAGCCACACUGGAACUGAGACACGGUCCAGACUCCUACGGGAGGCAGCAGUGGGGAAUAUUGGGCAAUGGGCGCAAGCCUGAUCCAGCCAUACCGCGUGGGUGAAGAAGGCCUUCGGGUUGUAAAGCCCUUUUGUUGGGAAAGAAAAGCAGCAGGUUAAUACCCCGCUGUUCUGACGGUACCCAAAGAAUAAGCACCGGCUAACUUCGUG